UACAGAGGGUGCGAGCGUUAAUCGGAAUUACUGGGCGUAAAGCGUGCGUAGACGGUAGCGUAAGUCGGGUGUGAAAGCCCCGGGCUCAACCUGGGAAUUGCAUUCGAGACUGCUCUGCUAGGGUGCGGAAGAGGGAAGCGGAAUUUCCGGUGUAGCGGUGAAAUGCGUAGAUAUCGGAAGGAACACCAGUGGCGAAAGCGGCUUCCUGGUCCAGCACCGACGUUCAGGCACGAAAGCGUGGGAGCAA
rnacentral:rRNA from 1 species